AAACUUGGGCCUGGCUGGCCGGUCCGCCUCACCGCGUGUACUGGUCCGGCCGGGCCUUUCCUUCUGGAGAGCCCCAUGCCCUUCACUGGGCGUGUGGGGGAACCAGGACUUUUACUUUGAAAAAAUUAGAGUGUUCAAAGCAGGCCUUUGCUCGAAUACGUAAGCAUGGAAUAAUAGAAUAGGACGUGCGGUCCUAUUUUGUUGGUUUCUAGGACCGCCGUAAUGAUUAAUAGGGAUAGUCGGGGGCAUCAGUAUUCAAUUGACAGAGGUGAAAUUCUUGGAUUUAUUGAAGACGAACAACUGCGAAAGCAUUUGCCAAGGAUGUUUUCAUUAAUCAAGAACGAAAGUUGGGGGCUCGAAGACGAUCAGAUACCGUCCUAGUCUCAACCAUAAACGAUGCCGACCAGGGAUUGGCGGAUGUUGCUUUUAGGACUCCGCCAGCACCUUAUGAGAAAUCAAAGUUUUUGGGUUCUGGGGGGAGUAUGGUCGCAAGGCUGAAACUUAAAGG
rnacentral:rRNA from 1 species